AGUAUUCGUAUACCAGGGAUCAUUGGCCUUAUUGAUUGUUACAAUAUUUUGUUACUUAUUACAGAUUGUAGAUGCCAACUAUAAUAUUUUAAAUAUACGGACUUGCCCCGGUAGCAACAAUGAUAGAUAUGUGUGGCAAUUUUCUGAGGCCAGAGAAUACAUGGAAAAUUUACGAGCUGAAGGUGAAGGUGAAAGGAAUUGUUACUUGCUAGGGGAUAGUGGUUACACAGUUUCUCCUGUGUUGUUGACUCCUAUAUUAGAUGCUCAACCAGGAACACCAGAAGUUGCUUAUACAACAGAGCAUGUAAGGACACGCUGUAGAGUAGAGUAGACCAUAGGAAUAUUCACAAAUGUUUGGAGAGUACUGAAAAGGGCUAGAAAGCUGCAUUACACUCCAAAUAAAUUAGCUAGAAUAACAAAUGCCUGCGCAAUUUUGCAUAAUUAUCGACGAAGACAUGGAAUUCAUGAUAACAUACCACCAAUACGACAACGUAAUGUUCGUUUACUUCAACGUCCAAGAGAUCACCCUGCUGGGAUUGCAGAGAGGCAAAGAAUAAUACAAGCUUAUUAUCGUUGAUAAACUGCAGAGGAAAAUGUUUUUCCUCUGCUUCAACUAUCCCUCGGUAGUUAUAUUUUAAUAACUUCAAUAUCUGUAAUUUAUUAUAGAUUCUAAGAGCUAUGGAUAGCUUCUAUAUUGCCUUAAUUUAUAUCUUAAAAAAAUGAUAAAAC